rnacentral:rRNA from 1 species
GAUACUACCCUAGCUGUGUUGGCUUUCUAACCCGCACCACUUAUCGUGGUGGGAGACAGUGUCAGGCGGGCAGUUUGACUGGGGCGGUCGCCUCCUAAAAGGUAACGGAGGCGCUCAAAGGUUCCCUCAUAAUGGUUGGAAAUCAUUCAUACAGUGUAAAGGCAUAAGGUAGCUUGACUGCGAGACCUACCAGUCGAGCA